AUGGCGGACUUCCUCCUCCUCGCCUGCCACCUCCUCCUCUCCCUCGCCCUCCUCGCCGCCUCCCUCUCCCACCUCCUCCUCGCCGCCGUCUCCCACUCCCCCCACCUCCACCUCCCCCUCCUCCGCUCCCUCCGCCACCCGCUCCUCCGCCUCCUCCCCGCCCUCCUCGCCCUCCCCUUCCCCUUCCUCCCCGUGGGCCCCACCGGCCUCCUCCUCCUCCCCCCUCUCCUCCUCCCUCUCCCGCUCCCCUUCCUCCCCCACCUCCUCCUCCCGCUCCGCCCGCUCCUCCUCUCCCUCCCGCUCCUCCUCCUCGCCCGCGCCGCCGCGCUCCUCGCGGGAUCGUUCCCGCCCUCCGACCUCCAGGCCCACGCGCUCUCCGUCGCGGCGCUGCUCCUCCUCGCCGCCGCGGUGGCCUCGCUCGCCGCCGCGCUGGCCCCGCCGGGGACGGCCCACCACCUCCUCGCCGAGACGGCGCUCGCCUGCGCCGGCGCCGUGGGGGCGCUCUGGGCGGCCUACAGCGGCCUCGUCCUCUACGUCGACUCCUGCGUCCCCGCCGGGUGCCACCGCCUGAUGGACGCCGCGGCGGCGCCCGCCACGCGCUGCGACGUCGAGGUGGCCAGGCUGCGGGCCGUGGCGCUCAUGGACCUCGCGCUUUCCGUGCAUUGCGUGCUCGUGGCGGCCGUCGCGGUGGGGGUGUACCUCGGGGUGGCGAGGUGGUGCGGGGUGGACGGCGGCGGGGGCGCCGGGGUGGGGAUGGGGAGGAGACAUAACGGCGUCGGUGGAUCAUACGAUGCGCUGCCCACUGUUACGUCUGCCGGCGCAAUUGCGGAGAUGGAGCAUUUGCCGAUGAAGGCCGUCGUCGGCAAGAGCGUGGCGCAGGAAUAAAGAAUGCGAUGUGCUUGAUUAACUAGGUUUGAAACUAUUUUCAUCAAAUGUGCACAAUGUGCCACCGCUAUCCAACUGAUAUAUGGAUCUAGGGUCCACGUCAGCCUAACAAUGUGUGGCAUAUUGUUGAUAUGGAUGAAAUUCAAUUGCUUGAACGGAGUAUUUUUGACAAAAGGCAGAAUAAGUCAAAUGCUAUGCCGGUGACUCAUGAUGAUACUAGGUGUAUGAACUCACAAGUGCUACAAAAUAAGCCUGAUGAAAUUCUACUGAUUAGAAGGACAGGAACUUAGAAUGGCUCUGAAAGAAAGGAUUAUUUAGAAUAUCACACCAUAACGCUGCAGGGAUCUGCUAUACGCUUCUCAAAGAUAUGGCAGACAGCAAAAGAAACCCUCAAGAGAUAAUGACACUGACAAGUAACCACUAAUCGUACUAAUUGUGCUCCAAAUCUUAGCAUUUUAAGGAUCUAUCACUUAGUGCUACUUUGUAUUGAAUGAAGCCUUUGGCUUCUCUUGUGUCCAAAGGGUCACUUGUAACUGUAAUGUGAUGAUAGAUCGAUAUUUUGGUAAGAUUAUAUUGUCAAUUGUUGUACCAAAAUAUGGAGUUCUCCCUUGAUUGAACACUGUUAGCGCAUUUCUAUGUGGUUAGAUUUUUGCAGGCAAGAUGGUCAAACUACGCUAGGUUUAAUAUAACAGUGUAACCGCACCAGUGCAUGAACUGUAUAAUUUUCUUACUUUAUAAUGUCCUGUGUGGUGACUUGUAAGAACUGGGAACAUCAUCUUUUUUUUUUUUAGUGUUGCAUCUCCCAUAAGGUUAGCCGCAGUACUCCACUGUCCACUCAACAUGUAAGAACUUGUGCUGACAUGCAAAUUGUCUUAUAUAUGGUUGACCUAUUUGUUAUUUAAAACAUGUAACAAUUAUACACAUCGUUACAAAUCUGUUAACUAGUGUGUAACAUUCUUAUAGGUGACAUUUGUUUAUUGGCAUUACUGCUGAUGUUUAUAAUUGCAGGUGGGAAUCAAUUGUAACCAUGAGUUGGACCGAUUGUUAGGCACAGUCACAAACCAUUGCCCAAAAACUCAUGAAGGAAAGAUACAAUUGUACUAUAUGUAGAACUAUCGUUACACAGGAGGGCCAACAGGUACCCAAGUUUUGCUGCUCAUGGAUCUGCAUGGCAUUGCACCAAGUAGCUCUGCUUUCUUCUGUUAGAAAGUUGAUCAUGAUCAGUAUCAAUGGUAGGUGCAUUACAGUACCAUUGUGUCAGUUUGCUAAUUAGUGCUAAGAUUUCUAGCCAAAAUGCAUUAGAACUUAGUCAUUCAGCCCAGCUUAAUUUGUACAUACAUAUGGGUGCUUGCUGAACUGCAUGCCAGCAAGCAUACUUCGAACUUAUCAUUGGAUAAAUAAACAAAUUGUGCAGGCAACAACUCUAUUAGUUAUUUAUUUUUAGUCCAUAACCCAGCGAAGUGUUUUCUUGGUUCAUGUUGUCUCUUGUUUUGGGCUUUUUGCUAUGUGUAUUCAAAGAUGUGGAAAUGUAAGUUGAAGUGGCACAUCAGGAUUAUGUAUCUAUGUCAA